AGUGGCGGACGGGUGAGUAAUGCAUCGGGACCUACCUAGACGUGGGGGAUAACGUAGGGAAACUUACGCUAAUACCGCAUACGUCCUACGGGAGAAAGCGGGGGAUCGAAAGACCUCCCGCGGUUAGACCGGCCCGAUUUUCGAUUAGCUAGUUGGUAGGGUAAUGGCCUACCAAGGCGACGAUCGAUAGCUGGUCUGAGAGGAUGAUCAGCCACACUGGAACUGAGACACGGUCCAGACUCCUACGGGAGGCAGCAGUGGGGAAUAUUGGACAAUGGGCGCAAGCCUGAUCCAGCAAUGCCGCGUGUGUGAAGAAGGCCUUCGGGUUGUAAAGCACUUUUAUCAGGAGCGAAACGCUGUCGAUUAAUACUCGGCGGAACUGACGGUACCUGAGGAAUAAGCACCGGCUAACUUCGUGCCAGCAGCCGCGGUAAUACGAAGGGUGCAAGCGUUAAUCGGAAUUACUGGGCGUAAAGCGUGCGUAGGCGGUGAGUUAAGUCUGUCGUGAAAUCCCCGGGCUCAACCUGGGAAUGGCGAUGGA
rnacentral:rRNA from 1 species